rnacentral:rRNA from 1 species
GACGAACGCUGGCGGCGCGCUUAACACAUGCAAGUCGAACGGAAAGGCCUGCUUUCCCUUGUGGAUUGCGGGUACUCGAGUGGCGAACGGGUGAGUAACACGUGAGUGAUCUGCCCCCAACUUGGGUAUAAGCCUGGGAAACUGGGUCUAAUUCCCGAUAGGACUGCAGGGUGGUGCCUGUGGUGGAAAACGAUUUUCUAGUGGUUGGGGAUGAGCUCGCGGCCUAUCAGCUUGUUGGUGGGGUAAUGGCCUACCAAGGCGGCGACGGGUAGCCGGCCUGGGAGGGUGGACGGCCACAUUGGGACUGAGAUACGGCCCAGGCUCCUACGGGAGGCAGCAGUGGGGAAUAUUACACGAUGGGCGGAAGCCUGAUGCAGCGACGCCGCGUGGGGGAUGACGGCCUUCGGGUUGUAAACUCCUUUCGACCGCGAGGAAGCCACCUGGUUGGAAGGGUGGUGACGGUAGUGGUAGAAGAAGCACCGGCUAACUACGUG